GCCGGGCGCGGUGGCGCGCGCCUGUAAUCCCAGCUACUCGGGAGGCUGAGGCUGGAGGAUCGCUUGAGCCCAGGAGUUCUGGGCUGCAGUGCGCUAUGCCGAUCGGGUGUCCGCACUAAGUUCGGCAUCAAUAUGGUGACCCUCCGGGAGCGGGGGACCACCAGGUUGCCUAAGGAGGGGUGAACCGGCCCAGGUCGGAAACGGAGCAGGUCAAAACUCCCGUGCUGAUCAGUAGUGGGAUCGCGCCUGUGAAUAGCCACUGUACUCCAGCCUGGGCAACAUAGCGAGACCCCGUCUCUU
rnacentral:SRP_RNA from 1 species